rnacentral:rRNA from 1 species
UACGAAGGGGGCUAGCGUUGUUCGGAAUCACUGGGCGUAAAGCGCACGUAGGCGGAUUGUUAAGUCGGAGGUGAAAUCCUGGGGCUCAACCCCAGAACUGCCUUCGAUACUGGCGAUCUUGAGUGUGGAAGAGGUUGGUGGAACUCCGAGUGUAGAGGUGAAAUUCGUAGAUAUUCGGAAGAACACCAGUGGCGAAGGCGGCUCACUGGUCCGGUACUGACGCUGAGGUGCGAAAGCGUGGGGAGCAAACAGG